rnacentral:rRNA from 1 species
UACAGGGGGGGCAAGCGUUGUUCGGAAUUACUGGGCGUAAAGGGCUCGUAGGCGGCCAACUAAGUCACACGUGAAAUCCCCAGGCUUAACCUGGGAACCUGCGUGUGAUACUGGAUGGCUUGAAUCCGGGAGAGGGAUGCGGAAUUCCAGGUGUAGCGGUGAAAUGCGUAGAUAUCAGGAAGAACACCCGUGGCGAAGGCGGCUCCUCUGGAACGGCAACUGACGCUGAGACGCGAAAGCGUGGGGAGCAAACAGG